GACAGAGGUGCCGAGCGUUAGGCGGAAUCACUGGGCUUAAAGCGUGUGUAGGCGGACUUGUAAGUACCUUGUGAAAUCCCACAGCUCAACUGUGGAACUGCUUGGUAUACUGCUUGUCUUGAGCCACUUAGGGGCAGUCGGAACAGACGGUGGAGCGGUGAAAUGCGUAGAUAUCGUCUGGAACGCCAAAGGUGAAAACAAGAACUGCUGGGAGUGG
rnacentral:rRNA from 1 species